GGUUCCCAGCUGCUGUUGGACUACAAUUCCCAUCACCCCUAGCUAGCAGGACCAGUGGUCAGGGAUGAUGGGAGUUGUAGUCCAACAACAGCUUGGGGAGACCCA